GAGUAUAUAUACUUGUCUUAUACUGCUUGUAUUUUGAAGAUCUGUCUAAGGAAGGGGGGCCACCCCCCACCCAGUCCGACCGCAGUCUUCCCUUGUAAUUGCUGGAAAUAAACUGCCUCUGACUUGUUGCUUACAAACGCAGAGUGAGGACUCGUUUUAUUCCACAAUUUGGUACCGUGACUUGGAUGGUAAUGCCCGGCUGAGACAGCAGAAUUACUAUGGAUCGUCCCCCUUCGAGCCCCAAGGUGCAAAACAAGAGUUUGGCUGGAGCUUUCCUGAGCUAUUUCACCUUGGGUUCAAGAGUUAAAAGUUCUGGAAAAGAAAAAAAAAUCUAGGAGAAACAAAUCAGAUAUUACCCUACAGAAUAUCAAAGGGCCAUAGCACUAUCAACAACACACCCUCUGGGAGAAGUCUGAAUCCCGUUGUGACAAUCCGUAUCCUUAUGGUCACCCCAUUUUUACAAGCCUCAUUAGAAAAGUUUCUGAGAAUGCAUUUUGGAUGAGUUUAUUCUUUGGUCAAGCUGUUCCUUCACACUGAAUAUAGUUCUCCAGACACUGAAUUCAAAGGUGCAGCAGUACAUAGCAUGUAUAGUCAUCCAACGAGGAUGCCCAAAGAGUGUAACCAUGACAAGGGUGGAAAAACAUUCAGUGCAGAUACUUCACAUUAUGGGGGAUGGGAGGAGCAACUAUAGUCAGUGGGGACUGUCAGCGCUUGACUGUUGUCAGUUCCAGAAGCAAAUUCCUCCUUCACAGAAUCCCAGAGCCCAGGCUUCAGCCCAAGCUGGAAUGUCUGAAAACAACCCUCGAGCCUGACUCAUGAGCCAGAGGCAGCCGACAUAGCCAGCUGUAGGGGUUUAAUUGCGCUGUAGACACAGCCCCAAGGCAUUUUUAAAGAGAAAACCUCCCUCGUAACUUGUAGCCGAGUGAUCAGGGCACUCAAAUGGGAGAGUCCUGGUUUAAGAUGAGGAGUUAUCAGACAGGGUGACUGGUCUGUGGGUCUCCCAUUUCCUGGGUAAGUGCUCUCUCCAUCCGGCUACAGUGUUAGCCUUACGUCUGGGCACUCCCUUAUUCUGGCCCAAUGACUUUCAGUAUUUAUCCACAGUGCAAUAGCUCCAACAGGAAAGUCUGGGAGAGCUCUGCAUCAGAAUGGCCCAUUGCCCAGCAGUUCAUGCGUUCACCUGAGGGGUGGCAGAGCCCACUCCACCUAAAGAGAAGGGAUUUGAAGAGGGAACUUGAACUGGGGGUCUCCCACUCCCAGGGAAGUACUCUAAAAACUGGGCUAAGUGUUAUCAAGAAGGUCCCCGCCCACAGUGCGCAGAUGUUUUGUGUGAACUCAUAUACAGGGCAUGCUCCAGAAACAGUCACUGGCUCAGGUCUUGAAUGCAGGUUAGGCAGGAAAGGUCUAUCUUCCUUCUCCAGUUUGUGAUUCACUCUGGGACUUAGAUGAAAGACAGGGACAUGGAUACCUAACGAGAGGCAGCAGCACACAGGCCAGGAGGCAGAAACAGAAGUGCCAAUGCCACGUUUUUUACUGCUGAAAACUAGUUGUCAAGGGAGUUUAGGCUUCUACGCAGUUCAACAGGAGUUUUAUGAAUUUUACUAGAGCAUUGAACUAGGAGCUAGGGGGCUAAGUGGAUUUAAGUGCCUAUGUACCUUUCAUAAUGUUGGCCUAAGUGAACAGAUGAGAUAAAAAUGAAAUAUAUUUAAUGAUUUUUGCCUUUAGUAUUUGUAGGUAUUUCCUCAAGAUUUGAUCCCAUAUGUAUGUAAGAAUGUAUAACGCAAGACAAGCUUGAUGUAGACUUGCUUACCAUUGAUUCUGUAUUGGAGACACAAGAUUGUGGGCCAAAUUCAAACCCCUGCUCAUGCAGGGAAAUACAAUUUGAAUCUUCAUGUGCCAGUGCAAGGAGUUUGGGGGUAAGAGAUUGCAGAUUUUGGAGGCUGCAUUCAUUGCCAGCCCUACAGAUAUUGGGGAUCCAGAGCAGUGUGACCCCCAUUCAGUUCAGAGGCAGGCAUGUUCCUAUAGGGAUGGCUCUGAGCUUUGCUGGUGGUGCCACAGCUGACUGGGUGCCCCCACAGUUGAUCAGAGCCAGAUGCAAAGAGAAGGCAGCCAUGUACUCUAGCGGCAGCCUGGAGGUUUUAUGCCAUGUAUGGAUGCACACAAGUCAGUGGCGGAUAUAGAGCAGGGCGAGCGGGUCGGCUGCCCCGGGCCCCGC